AUGAGGUCGAGGGGGCUGCGGCUGCGGUCGCGGCGGCAGAGCGUGCUUGUCGCCGCGGCCGUCGUCCUCGGCGUGUUGCUGCUGGCGACGGCGGCGCCGCGCGCGGCGGCGGCGGGGCUGAGCCGGAACUACUACGCGAAGACGUGCCCCAACGUGGAGACCCUGGUCCGCGGCGCCGUGGCCCAGAAGCUGCAGGAGACCUUCAACGCCGCGCCCGGCACCCUCCGCCUCUUCUUCCACGACUGCUUCGUCAGGGGGUGCGACGCUUCGGUGCUCAUCUCCGGGCCGGGCGACGAGCACAGCGCGGGCGCGGACACGACGUUGUCGCCGGACGCGCUGGACCUCAUCACCCGCGCCAAGGCCGCCGUGGACGCCGUCGCCGGCUGCUCCAACAAGGUCUCCUGCGCCGACAUCCUCGCGCUCGCCACCCGCGACGUCGUCCAGCAGGCGGGAGGGCCGUUCUACCCGGUGGAGCUGGGGCGGCUGGACGGCAAGGUGGGGACGCGCGCCGUGGUGAAGCACAGCCUCCCCGGCGCCGGCUUCUCCCUGGACCAGCUCAACAAGCUCUUCGCCGCCAACGGCCUCACCCAGACCGACAUGAUCGCCCUCUCAGGGGGGCACACGAUCGGGGUGACGCACUGCGACAAGUUCGUGCGGCGGCUGUACACGUUCAAGGGGGCGCGGCCGCAGUACAGCCCGCCGAUGAACCUGGCCUUCCUGCGGCAGAUGCGGGGGACGUGCCCGCUCAACUACAGCCCCACCACGGUGGCCAUGCUGGACGCCGUCACGCCCAACAAGUUCGACAACGGCUACUACCAGACGCUGCAGCAGCAGAAGGGCCUGCUGUCGUCGGACCAGGUGCUCUUCGCCGACCGCCGCUCCCGGGCCACCGUCAACCACUUCGCCGCCAACCAGACCGCCUUCUUCGACGCCUUCGUCGCCGCCAUGGCCAAGCUCGGCCGCAUCGGGGUCAAGACCGCCGGCUCCGACGCCGAGAUCCGCCGGGUCUGCACCAAGGUCAACUAA
rnacentral:rRNA from 1 species